rnacentral:rRNA from 1 species
CCCCUAGAUGUUCUGGGCCGCACGCGCGCUACACUGAACAGUUCAACAAGUCUUAACCUUGGCCGAUAGGUCUGGGUAAUCUUUGAACGCUGUUCGUGAUUGGGAUAGACCUUUGCAAUUAUGGGUCUUCAACGAGGAAUUCCUAGUAAACGCAAGUCAUCAGCUUGCAUUGAUUACGUCCCUGCCCUUUGUACACACCGCCCGUCGCACCUACCGAUUGAAUGACCCGGUGAAAUCUUCGGAUCGUCGUGUUGCCCGAUUCAUUUCGGGCGAUGUGACGCAAAGUUGAUUAAACCUUGCCAUUUAGAGGAAGGUGAAGUCGUAACA